GCCGCGUGAGUGAUGACGGCCUUAGGGUUGUAAAGCUCUUUCGCUAGGGACGAUAAUGACGGUACCUAGACAAGAAGCCCCGGCUAACUUCGUGCCAGCAGCCGCGGUAAUACGAAGGGGGCUAGCGUUGUUCGGAAUUACUGGGCGUAAAGCGCGUGUAGGCGGGCUUUUAAGUCAGGGGUGAAAUGCCAAGGCUCAACCUUGGAACUGCCUUUGAUACUGGAAGCCUCGAGUCCGGGAGAGGUGAGUGGAACUGCGAGUGUAGAGGUGAAAUUCGUAGAUAUUCGCAAGAACACCAGUGGCGAAGGCGGCUCACUGGCCCGG
rnacentral:rRNA from 1 species